GAUGAACGUUGGCGGCGUGCCUAACACAUGCAAGUCGAACGCUAGUAGCAAUAUUAGGGUGGCGCACGGGUGAGUAACACGUAGCUUAUCUACCUCCCAGCGCGGGAUAACGGUUCGAAAGAACUGCUAAUACCGCAUAAGCUCACGAGCUAUAGAGGCUGGUGAGAAAAGGCUUAGGUCACUGGGAGCGGGGGCUGCGGCCCAUCAGCUAGUUGGUGAGGAACGGCUUACCAAGGCGACGACGGGUAGGGGACCUGAGAGGGU
rnacentral:rRNA from 1 species